rnacentral:rRNA from 1 species
AUUGAACGCUGGCGGCAGGCCUAACACAUGCAAGUCGAGCGGAUGAAGGGAGCUUGCUCCUGGAUUCAGCGGCGGACGGGUGAGUAAUGCCUAGGAAUCUGCCUGGUAGUGGGGGAUAACGUCCGGAAACGGGCGCUAAUACCGCAUACGUCCUGAUGGAGAAAGUGGGGGAUCUUCGGACCUCACGCUAUCAGAUGAGCCUAGGUCGGAUUAGCUAGUUGGUGGGGUAAAGGCCUACCAAGGCGACGAUCCGUAACUGGUCUGAGAGGAUGAUCAGUCACACUGGAACUGAGACACGGUCCAGACUCCUACGGGAGGCAGCAGUAGGGAAUAUUGGGCAAUGGGCGAAAGCCUGAUCGAGCCAUGCCGCGUGUGUGAAGAAGGUCUUCGGAUUGUAAAGCUCUGUUAGUUGGGAAGAAGAGCAGUAUGUUAAUACCUUGCUGUUUUGACGGUACCAAAAGAAAAAGCACCGGCUAACUACGUG